CAUAAUUUACAAUCUGGAGGAACGCGCACAGCUGGAGGGAGACCUGUGUGGGAAUUUAUAUAUACACGCCAAACUAAAUCCUUUGGCCUGUAAGUAGGCAAUCUGGCCAUCUGUGAAAGGGAUUGCAAGGGGUUAAUGUCUUUUCCUGCCUGAACACUUGAUUGCACGAGCAUGCUUCUUAUCACAUACACACCAGCUGUAGACUGUGUAAACUACUAUAGCCACUCAGGUGUUCAAACAUUACCAAAUAUAGAGUAGUCACAUCGUGUAUGUCAUCACAAUGGAAUCUCUUUGUUUACUAUGCUAUAUAAGUUGUAGUAUUACCCAUAAUAAACUGAAUUUGUUUUGCAACACACAAGCCUACAGUGUCGUUCAUUGCAAGUUCCCUGAUCAGCACACCUGGAUAGAUGAUAUCAGAUGGUUUACCGUUGCAUCAAUUAUAAGACGAGCCGGCUCGCAGCUGCAAGGACAGUGCAGGGAUAGCACAGUGGGAUUCAGUGGCCCUUACAGUUCUCUGGUGUCAGAAGUGGAACAGCUGGAAAUCCAGAGGAGCCGACCCAUCCAUUUCGCCCAGGCGAUCCUGUUGUGGUUCAACAGCUCCAUCGCUAUCGAAAAGUUGGAUUCCCAUUUGGCCCAUGAGUCACAGUGAUUGCCAUCACACGGACAGCAGUCCUCACCGAUGCCAGCGACCAUUGAAUCCACGCUUCACGAGUGAAACUCGCGCCAACACUUCCAACGCCGGAACUGAGUAAAGCUGACAACACGGAACAUGACACCCCCACCAAAUCCAUCACAGAAGGACCCGAAGAUGACGUCUCAGGACCUCACACUCCUACCACUGAUGAUGAUGAGGAAGUCCACAAAAUAUGCACUAUGGUGCAUAAUUGGCACUUUCCUUUCUCUAUUUUUCCCGAAUUAUGAUAAUCCUUAACUGCAUAUGUUACCCAAACCCUCACAGCCCUUUGGGAUCAGUUUGUUACCAGUUUUUCAAGAGCAAUACAACACUACAUUUAUUAUAAUCAACAACGUUUUGUUAAUUACACCAGAGACGCCCUACAAGGUAUUGCAGAUCAACUUACACCCACCUCUCAAAUGACAUUCCAAAAUAGGGUAGCCUUAGAUAUGAUUUUAGCAGAGAAAGGGGGUAUUUGUAAAAUGCUUGAUGGUACCGGCACCUGCUGCACUUAUAAUCCUGAUAUCACCGGACCUAACGGUAAAGUCACUGUAGCUAUUAAAAAACGGAAUGAUUCAUCCAUUGAACUUAAGAAAAACUCUGGUAUUACCCACCCAUGGGACGAGUAUUUUGGAUGGUUGACCGGUUGGCAAAAAAUCUUAGCUCAGAUCGGUGUCACCUUAUUGAUUGUCUUAAUUUUUGUUUCAUUUCUUUUCUGCUGUAUAAUUCCCUAUAUCAGGAAAUUAACUUCAUCUUUAAUUACUUCUUCUGAGGGCUUGCAACUUAAGCUUAUUCAUGCUGCUCGCGUAUAGUCACUUAUGUGAC